GCAGAUUAGCUGUCGACAUUAUAGUUGCACAGGCACUUUGGUGACUCUACAGAACCUCGAGCAAAUCGCACGUCCCCGAGACGGCGACUUUGCAUUCGGAUGUAUGCCCUAUCAACUUUCGAUGCCACUUUCUGCGCCUACCAUUGUGACCACGGGUAACGGGGAAUCAGGGUUCGAUUCCGGAGAGGGAGCCUGAGAAACGGCUGCCACAUCCAAGGAAGGCAGCAGGCGCGCAAAUUACCCACUCCUGACGCGGGGAGGUAGUGAC